GUCUUUUUGGUAUUAAUUUAAGGUUUAACCUGCCCAAUGAAUAUUUGAAUGGCCGCGGUAUUUUGACUGUGCUAAGGUAGCAUAAUCAUUAGUUUUUUAAUUAAAAGCUGGAAUGAAGGGUUGGAUGAAAAAUUAACUGUCUCUAGUUAAAUUAAUUAGAAUUUUAUUUUUAAGUUAAAAAGCUUAAAUAUUUUUAAAAGACGAGAAGACCCUAUAGAGUUUAAUAUAUUUAUUUUAUUGAUCUUUAGAAUUUAUUUUUUAUAAUUAUAGUAUAUUUGAUUGGGGUGAUUAAAAAAUUAAAUAAACUUUUUUUUUAAAAAUUUAUAUUGAUUAAUAAAUUAAUGAUCCAAAAAUUUUGAUUAUAAGAUAAAUUACCUUAGGGAUAACAGCGUAAUUUUAUUAAAGAGUUCAAAUCGAAAAUAAAGUUUGCGA
rnacentral:rRNA from 1 species